rnacentral:rRNA from 1 species
CACGUAGGGGGCAAGCGUUGUCCGGAUUUAUUGGGCGUAAAGAGCUCGUAGGCGGUUCGGUAAGUCGGGUGUGAAACCUCCAGGCUCAACCUGGAGUCGCCACUCGAUACUGCUGUGACUAGAGUCCGGUAGGGGAGCGUGGAAUUCCUGAUGUAGCGGUGAAAUGCGGCAGAUAUCAGGAGGAACACCAGCGGCGAAGGCGGCGCUCUGGGCCGGAACUGACGCUGAGGAGCGAAAGCGUGGGUAGCAAACAGG